rnacentral:rRNA from 1 species
UACAGAGGUCUCAAGCGUUGUUCGGAUUCAUUGGGCGUAAAGGGUGCGUAGGCGGCGCGGUAAGUCGGGUGUGAAAUCUUGGAGCUUAACUCCGAAACUGCAUUCGAUACUGCCGUGCUUGAGGACUGGAGAGGAGACUGGAAUUUACGGUGUAGCGGUGAAAUGCGUAGAUAUCGUAAGGAAGACCGGUGGCGAAGGCGGGUCUCUGGGCCGAUACUGACGCUGAGGAGCGAAAGCGUGGGGAGCAAACAGG